rnacentral:rRNA from 1 species
AUUGAACGCUGGCGGCAGGCCAACACAUGCAAGUCGAACGGUAGCACAGAGAGCUUGCUCUCGGGUGACGAGUGGCGGACGGGUGAGUAAUGUCUGGGAAACUGCCCGAUGGAGGGGAAUAACUACUGGAAACGGUAGCUAAUACCGCAUAACGUCGCAAGACCAAAGUGGGGGACCUUCGGGCCUCACACCAUCGGAUGUGCCCAGAUGGGAUUAGCUAGUAGGUGGGGUAACGGCUCACCUAGGCGACGAUCCCUAGCUGGUCUGAGAGGAUGACCAGCCACACUGGAACUGAGACACGGUCCAGACUCCUACGGGAGGCAGCAGUGGGGAAUAUUGCACAAUGGGCGCAAGCCUGAUGCAGCCAUGCCGCGUGUAUGAAGAAGGCCUUCGGGUUGUAAAGUACUUUCAGCGAGGAGGAAGGCGUUGUGGUUAAUAACCGCAGCGAUUGACGUUACUCGCAGAAGAAGCACCGGCUAACUCCGUGCCAGCAGCCGCGGUAA